GAAGACACGUUCAGAGUGAAAGAAGAGGAGGAUGUUACAUUAAAAGAAGAGGAGGAAGAGAAAGAGGAGGAUGCAGUUUUCAGAGUGAAAGAGGGGGAGGGGGAGAUGACUGUCACAUUGAAAGAAGAAGAGGUUGGAGAUCUGUUUAACACCAGAGAGAGAUGGGACUAUCGUGGAGCCUCAACAACCUCAUGAUGCUGACGAGGCAGAGAAGAGUCUCUCCACAUCAGAACACUUCAAGAAACACCAGCAGAGAUCCACAGGGAAGAGAACUCGCUGCUGCUCUGACUGUGGGAAGAGUUACUCAACAUCAGAUUCACAAAAAAUACACCAGAGAAUUCACACAGGUGAUAAAUCUCACCGCUGCUCUGAUUGUGGGAAAUGUUGCAAAUCUUCAUCAGAACUUAAAAUACACCUGAGAAAUCACACAGGAGAGAAACACUGUAGCUGUGAUGAAUGUGGGAAGAGUUUUGAUACAUCUAGCCAUCUUACUGUACACCAAAGGACUCACACAGGAGAGAAACCUUAUAGCUGUGAUCAAUGUGGGAAGAGUUUUACUCAGCUAAGCAGCCUGAUAACA